rnacentral:tRNA from 1 species
GCCUUCGUGGUGUAAUGGUAGCAUGCUGGGCCGAUAUUCCAGAGAUCCGUGGUUCGAUUCCCGGCGAAGGCU